AAUCUGGUAAAAAUUUGGUUGUUUACUUCCGGUGCAGGUUACUUUCUUAUAUGCAAUGAAAUGUAGUGUGAAAUUUUCACUGUAGCACUGGAAAGGAUUAAACUUUAUUCAUGCAAAGUAUUUCUUUGGUUGAAAUAAAGUGUUAACCAUGAUGUGACAAGCAUUCUGUUGAAAAAUCUUAUAUGUGAACUGGUCUGCAGAUGACACUUUAGCAUUGAGGCAAAAGAUACCAAGUUUUGAUGAAAAAAGAAGGAAGAAGGACAAUGGACCAAAACACACCAAAACAGACCUUCAAAUGAACU